GCAGUCGAGCGAACUGAUUAGAAGCUUGCUUCUAUGACGUUAGCGGCGGACGGGUGAGUAACACGUGGGCAACCUGCCUGUAAGACUGGGAUAACUUCGGGAAACCGAAGCUAAUACCGGAUAGGAUCUUCUCCUUCAUGGGAGAUGAUUGAAAGAUGGUUUCGGCUAUCACUUACAGAUGGGCCCGCGGUGCAUUAGCUAGUUGGUGAGGUAACGGCUCACCAAGGCAACGAUGCAUAGCCGACCUGAGAGGGUGAUCGGCCACACUGGGACUGAGACACGGCCCAGACUCCUACGGGAGGCAGCAGUAGGGAAUCUUCCGCAAUGGACGAAAGUCUGACGGAGCAACGCCGCGUGAGUGAUGAAGGCUUUCGGGUCGUAAAACUCUGUUGUUAGGGAAGAACAAGUACAAGAGUAACUGCUUGUACCUUGACGGUACCUAACCAGAAAGCCACGGCUAACUACGUGCCAGCAGCCGCGGUAAUACGUAGGUGGCAAGCGUUAUCCGGAAUUAUUGGGCGUAAAGCGCGCGCAGGCGGUUUCUUAAGUCUGAUGUGAAAGCCCACGGCUCAACCGUGGAGGGUCAUUGGAAACUGGGGAACUUGAGUGCAGAAGAGAAAAGCGGAAUUCCACGUGUAGCGGUGAAAUGCGUAGAGAUGUGGAGGAACACCAGUGGCGAAGGCGGCUUUUUGGUCUGUAACUGACGCUGAGGCG
rnacentral:rRNA from 2 species